rnacentral:lncRNA from 1 species
CAUGGUAGCAAAGGAACAGUUGAAAGUGCAGGUUCAAGAGUAUCUUCCAACUCAACGCCAUAGUUGAGAAGAAUAUUUAAGACGUAUAAAGUUGCCCUCAUUGUGUAGCUCAUGGACUUAUGAUUUGAGUGAUGCAGGCCAGAUAGUUGACAAUCAGAGUACAUGGAAGAUGAAUACGAAAGGUAAUUGAUGAAAGCUUGAGCUGCUUGACCAAAGAGGGAUACCCUUCUUCUUCUCAAAGACCGCCAAAGAUCAGUUAUAUCAUCAAUCAAGGAUGUUACUGCUGGAUCAUCAAGGGCAAUCUUUGCACUGGCUAAGGACUUCUGCAAUUUAGAUUUUAGCAUAGCAGAAAGGGUUUCACCACUAUGAUCUUCAGCUCCAGGUGCUCCUGCUGUAGCUUCAAGAAUAUCUGUUAUUUGCUCAGACAAAGAUUUGACAUUCUCCUUCUGCCAACAUUCUGAGACAACAAAAUUUUCCAUAUUCUCAUUUAGAACUUCUAACGAUCUUUUCUGUAGGAGCUCUGAGACAAUGUCUUUCACUUUUAGCUGCUCUAUCUCGGUUAAACUUAAGCUUUGAUGAUGGAUUUCAGAAUGAAAAGCAGAUGAAACGGAAGAAGAAUGAAGGAGAGCUUCAUUAUCUGCAGAAAGAAAUGAUCUUGCCCGAGCAUAACACCAAGAGGCAUAUGAAAUCCAUGACUUCCCCAUAUUAAGGCAGAGUCGAGUAGAUAGCUCCCUUGCAGCACCCACAAAUUCCUCAGUAAUAGCAUCAAUAUUAGGUUUAGCACUCAGAGCAUCAUUUCUAAAGCUAGAAAACCCUCUGCCAGAGUCAAACGUGUCAGUAUUAAUAAAAUCUUCUCUAAACUUCAGAACGACAUCUUUCAACCUUGGAUCUGAAUAAUUUUGUUCCAACCAAUUUGACAGUUUUAAACAUGCCUUUGCCUUCAAGACAUUGUCAAAAGAAUCAGAAGAAACAAUUGCAGAAGAAAGCAUGCUAGGACGUACAAGUGACCACAUAUUGGAAAAUGCAUCAUCAAGCUUGCCUUCACUGUGCAUCAACAGGAUGUCCUCAUACUGCAAACUGGAGAUGAUAUAAUCACGAAAGUCGGUGUCAGGGCAAUUUGCUACAUUCUCCUUAAGGUAGUUGCUUAGACGAUUUGCCAACACCAAAUUUCUUUGCUUGCGAGAUAAGUUCAACAAGUUAUUACAUAGCUUGAGAGUCGCAGGUGAUGUUGGUUGAGUAUUUUGGUAAACUCGGAGUACUUUUAGCCAUAAACUGCAAUCUUGAUGAACUCGAUUAAUCGGGGACUGAACUGCUUGAAUAUAUGAUCCUAAUAAUGACUCUAAAUGAUUGUCUUGGCUGCCCCGCAUCUGGUACUUUUCCUCCAAUGCCAGUAUGCAGUAUAAAUGGUUGACAUGUGGUGCAGCAUCAGAGAGACCAUCGAGGGGAAGAACAGAUAGUGUUUCCUCCAGUAUUGACUUGGCUUUCUGCAAUUCGUGAGGUACCUUGUCCACUUUCCCCUCCUUCUGGAAAAGCAUUGCCUGCAAAAGCAUUUGCUCACUCCUUUGCAAGGCUAACUUGGGAUCAAGUGUGAGUUCAUUGCUACUUUUUGGUGUCAAAUCAAGGCAUGCCCAUGAUGCCUGAACAUCGCCCUCAUCAAAACGGGCUAAUGCUUGGACGGAGUUUAUUUCAUUUCCUGCAGUAGUUAGAGCACCAGAGUAGCUCUUUCCUGCAUGCUUUGAUCGUAGUGCUUGCAGCUCCAACAACCAGGAUUCCAAAGCUUUCCAAUCAGAAACUGCAGUAUAACUCUCAAUAAUACGAGCAAUAGCAAACUGUACUCCUUCAGAACCCAUAGAACUGAGUGAAUCAUCGGUCUGUAGCAGAUGUAUAAAAUGUGCUGCAGCCUUCUCAUGUUGGCCCUUUGCCUGAUAUACUAGUCCAGUUAUCCAUGAAAAUUGUUCUAGAAUCUCACUAUCACUUAACCUUUGAUUGUCCUCAGCAAACAAUGGAAAGAAUGCCAUGCUUGUCCACUUUUGUAGACCAAUUAAUGCCUCUGAUUCAUGAUUCUUACAGAGAGCUAAUGCCAUGUGCCGUACAACCCUCAAAAUUUCUCCAUCAAACCUACCCCUGAUACUCUGGACAACUUCACUCACCUGGACUCUUGAAUUGUCCGUGAAAGAUGAAGCAACAAAAUUCUUAAGCUCUCGUAAACGCAGUGUGCAGUAUUGGAUUGUAGCAUCAUGACACUGGAGUGCCAAUCCAGCAUUCAUCAUUGGUUCACAUAUGCGAGAAAACCACUCCUCACAGACUUUCUUAUUUGCACGGAAGAACAAAGAGCUCUGCCUAGAUGGACAGGGCAAAACUGUUGAUCCUUCAUAUGCAUUGUACACAUUUUUCUUCAGAGCCUCAACAAAAUCUAGCAACAGCCUCAUUGGCAACAAAUGAGCAUAAGAAGUGCUGGUGAUGGUCAAAUUUCCAUCACUUUGGUGAGUAUCAAGCUGUAGCAGAUGAGAAAUGUCCAGAAGCAUUCGUUCCAAUGCAGCAAAAGUUUGAGUGGGGCCACCAAGAUUGGUCCGGAGUCUCGUAGAAAUACAGCACCUUGCCGCUUCAUUUAUAGCCCACCAGGCACCUGCAAGAAUAUUGGUAGAGCAGACUCUUUCAAGAAUAUCCCUCUCCACUUUGACGUCCCUCCACAAUCCAUUUACAUCAGCGUUUACCAAUUCCUCUGACUGUAUUAAAGGAUGGUCUUUCGAGUUCCGGCAGGAACAGAUUAACCGUUGAAUCCAAGAAGACAAAGGCACUUUCCAUCUCUGAGAAAUGUAACUCAAUAUGGAAACAAGUUGCUGUGAGCGAAGUUGAUGAGGUAGUUGCUUUAUGGCAAAGACUUGCUUCCAGUACAAAUUAGGCCUGUUUUUAACUCCACAAAUAACACUGCUAGAAGAAGUAAUCAUUCUACAAUCAUACAGACCAAAAACAUAUAUAGUAAUAGGCAGAACAUUGCAAAGCAACCUACCAAAUGCAUUUUUUAUAUCUUUUUCUGGGUCCCCAAGUUUCUCAAGGACAGUCUCAGCAAUGUACAGGAAGUGAGAGGGAUGGACAAGUUUUGCUUGCAGAAGCAUGUCUAGAACCAAUUUGACAAGAGAUCUUACUCUUGGUUCUCUGUCUGAUGCAGAAUCCAAAAUGGAGAACAGCAAAUUCUGCAUGACCUCUACAUAUCCCCAGACUUCACAAGGAUAAUGUGUUGCCUCCACAUUCUCAUAUGCACAGAUUACAUUUUUACAGAAUUUAGUUAUCCAUUCUAAGGCUUCUAUUUUAACAGCUAAAGGAGCAGCAGUGUCAAGAGCUUUAACAAGGAGAUUGGAGUAAUUUCUCAAAUACUCCAAAACUAGUAUUGGAUGUUGAUUUUUAAUAUUAUCCUCCUUCAUUGGCUUUGAAAGUGCAGGUUCUCUUGUAGAGCAACUAGUCAGAAACUCAACGUCACUCAGCCUUUGCAAUGUCUGCAAUACUGCUAGUUGCAGUUCUACAUAGGCUUCAAUAGGUAAGCUAAAAGGAUCUAAUUUCUCCACCAAAAAGGAUAAUAAUCUCUUUGACCUAUUAAGAUACAACGUGUCAACUUCUGUAACAUUCAUAUAGCGACUUCCACCUGGAGAAACACACGUUAACAAGACUUUCAAAUCAAAAUGGAUUAAAGCAAACAAUUCUGAUCGUGAAUAAGAUUUUUGAGCUGUAAUUCCAUCUCCAAUGCACCCCUCACCGCAUGUCUCUUUGAGCACAAUAGUCUUCAACAAAUCCAGCUCCUCAAUCAAGGAAUUGAUUGUCCUUUCAACAACUUCUUCAUUAACAUGCUGCAGUAAGAAGAUAUAGGUAGCAGCAGCACUUCCAGUUACUAACUGAUUUGGAUGCAGACGCAAUUGAGAUAUAGGGGCAUCAAAUCCUAUUAUCUUUUCAGCAGAUGAUGGGAGAAGCCCAUGCUUUUGAAGCGACAGCAACUGUAAAUUAGUUUUAAGAACCCCAUGAACCUGAAAGGAAGUAAUAUUUACAGUCCUUGUGAGUUGGACUGUAUUCCGCAUGUCCAAGCUCUGAAACAAAAUAUCAACCGCAAUAGGGAAAAAUGUUGAAAACCUAUCGCCUAAAAUUUCUGCUAACAAAGUCAAGCACUUCCAAGAAUCCUGAAUCCAUUUUGACCAACCAUAUUUCCUUCCAAUCUGUGAUAAACAUCCUAAUAAAAGAGGAACCAUUUUGCAAAGAGGUUCAGUAAUCUGUCCCAGCAUAUUCAUUUCCAGCAAACCAGAUGCUACAGACUUCAAAACUGUAGAAAAGCAAGAUAGUAAAGCAAGUAAUCUUUGAAAUUGCUGUGGAGUACCAGGACUUCCAUCCUGAAGUAACACAUCCAUGUCUCCUAGAAACUUUGAUAGCAAUCCCAAGGAGAACUGCAUGUUAUUUACCCAGUGUUUCUGAAAUUGCAAGAAACUGUCCAUAAUCACACUCCGAUCUGAUUCUGCCAGGUCAGGCACCAUUGCCCACCCAAGGAGCAGAUCAACAAUGUCAACAAAGUGAGGCUGGAAACAUCUAGAAAAGUUUAAAGAAAUUAUAGUUAAAACAGCAAGAAGUCUGUGCAGUAAAAUCAGGGAGGUUCUCUCAUCUUCGAGAAGUUCCUGGCAUGCUUUGAGAACAGGCAAGGCAUAUCUUUCGACUGCCCCAACAUCUCCAACACUAAGAAAUUCUCGUAGAGCUUCCAAAGCCAGCUCCGCUGUCGCAUUUCCUAUAUUGAUAAGCAGUGGCAAUGCCCAACCCAUGAACCGGUCAACCAAGCCACUGAGUAUAACAUGAUUCUGCCUUCCAUUUGAUGCUAGAGGGACUGAACACAGUACAGAGCACAAAGCCCCAUAUGCUGUGGCUGCUGACUGCCGUACCAAAUAUGAUCUAAGCAACACAGUGAAAGCAAAAGAUAAAUCAACAGAAAUGAAGUAUAUUAUCCUGAUCAUUAACUGGUCAAUAUCCACUCAAAAUUUAAAGACCCUUUAUUACAAUGAAUACAAGUAAUUACAUCCUAUUAAAGUGCAAGGUAUGUGAUGCACUUGGCCCAUCAACAGAACCAACUGGAAUGUAGGUUGUAUAACAAAUUGCUAUUCUUGUGCCAUCCAAGAACAAAUGUUUGAUAGAUUGAGAUGGAAUAAACUUCAAUUUUUUUUUUUAAUGAAUUGCAUAAGCUAUUGAAACAUAACAAGACAAGUCACGUGAAUACACUCUGAUGCCAAAUCUGCAGCUAAUUUUUAAUGGAAAGUUUCAAAUCAUUAGUCACAUAUAUUUUCAACCACUGUUGACAUGAACAUGGAUUAACAAACUUAUUUCGGUGGCCCAGUGGAUCUUUUAUCUUUCCCCUCAAAUACCUAUCCUUUACAAGAAACUUGUAAUUGUGCAGAUUCUAGUUGCUGAAUUUAAUUUCAAGCAUAUCUCUCAUGAUUUUAAACCACUCCUUGAAGCAAAUCAGAAUUAGUUUGAUAAUAAAUGCAACUACAGUGGAGAUCAAUGACUACAUGCUAGACUUAACUAGCUUGGAAAUAAUCAGGGGAUGGACACUAAUUUCAGCAAAAUCAGACGCCAAAAGACACAACUGACUGGAGUUUUAGAGGAAGAGUUGGUCUUUACAAUUUUCCUUAACCAAAAAUUCUCUAUGCAGAUAAAGCUCCAAUUCCAGAGCUGUGCACCCAGUUUAAACUUCUUAACCAGACUAUCCUAGCAUAGAAUAAUGACAAAGCAAUACGAGAUGAACAUCACCACUACUACUGUCCAAAUAUUUUUUAACAACUAAACGAAAGAAAGAGCAGGAAAGAGAACUCUUGUCAGAGAAGGAAAAUUUUGCUUUACCAAACAAGCCAGUAUCUUUUGAAGCUCCUCAGGAAUUUCCUUCUCUUGGGUGUUUGCAUCAACUAGAGCAGGGUACACAAUAGACCAAGGAGAUAGUUUUGACAGCUUGACCAGUAAAGUUUCUAGCUGUCUCCUAACUACUUGUUCUGGAUGACAACUUAAUCGUGCAAAUAGUUGAGGUGUUAUCUCCUUCAAAAAAAAAUAAUUAUUAGAAAAUCAUCCACCAACAUUGGUAUGACAUCCUAAAAGCGUAACUCACCUGCCAUGGUAGCAAAGGAACAGUUGAAAGUGCAGGUUCAAGAGUAUCUUCCAACUCAACGCCAUAGUUGAGAAGAAUAUUUAAGACGUAUAAAGUUGCCCUCAUUGUGUAGCUCAUGGACUUAUGAUUUGAGUGAUGCAGGCCAGAUAGUUGACAAUCAGAGUACAUGGAAGAUGAAUACGAAAGGUAAUUGAUGAAAGCUUGAGCUGCUUGACCAAAGAGGGAUACCCUUCUUCUUCUCAAAGACCGCCAAAGAUCAGUUAUAUCAUCAAUCAAGGAUGUUACUGCUGGAUCAUCAAGGGCAAUCUUUGCACUGGCUAAGGACUUCUGCAAUUUAGAUUUUAGCAUAGCAGAAAGGGUUUCACCACUAUGAUCUUCAGCUCCAGGUGCUCCUGCUGUAGCUUCAAGAAUAUCUGUUAUUUGCUCAGACAAAGAUUUGACAUUCUCCUUCUGCCAACAUUCUGAGACAACAAAAUUUUCCAUAUUCUCAUUUAGAACUUCUAACGAUCUUUUCUGUAGGAGCUCUGAGACAAUGUCUUUCACUUUUAGCUGCUCUAUCUCGGUUAAACUUAAGCUUUGAUGAUGGAUUUCAGAAUGAAAAGCAGAUGAAACGGAAGAAGAAUGAAGGAGAGCUU